GUCGAAGGGACUCAAAUACCGCUGGGGCCCAACACGAGCGCUACUCAUCCAGCAUCAGAACACAGAGAUCAGGGUGACUGAGGCAUCGGAGAUCGAGGCAACUCUGACCACACUGGGUUUGAACCGCACUGCAAUGGCUGCACCGACAGCUUGGGACCCGGCUAACGCUAUCCCGUUCAUCCCGGCGAGUAGGAGUUUACCCAGCCGAGCAAAUACUUGACUCUGGAGACUGCCUUCUCUGUUUCUUUUUGUUUAUUUUAGUUUAAAUCUUGUUUCCUCACCUAUUACGACAUACGGGCCUCAUGGGGCCAGCAUCUUACAGAUGCACAGUUAGCACAGCAUAAGUUUUUUAGUUGUUAUUGUAUUUUCCUUUACUCAGACAACACUUAAAUGCUACGCAUCUACAUAUACAACGCAAGCAGGGAAGGACCGUAACCAUCUUUCCCACCAGACAAGCCUAAAUGAGCCGCGACCGGGAUUAACCCGGGAACACAGGCUCCCUAAAGACCACCAACCCCCCCCCAGCUCCACGCUAGUAUCCACUAACACCCACUCAACCAUGUGGAGCUGCACUCCUACAGCGUCCUGCCCGCUCUAGAGACACACUACUUCUCACUCAUUUUUGCUAAUGUACGGCCAUGCAUGCCCUAGAUAUAUAUUUCCACUACCACUGGAGGCAAGUAUAUGGCAGUAACACGCUACAUUACAAUAAAAAUAAAAACCGCAGGCUACAUUGAUAUCCUACCAACUGCAUGUAAAUGGUUAACCGCAAUGUUAUGCUUUAUUGAAUAUGUCAUACACAAUGUCU